rnacentral:rRNA from 1 species
UACGGGGGAGCAAGCGUUGUUCGGAUUUACUGGCGUAAAGGGCGCGUAGGCGGUCAGCACAGUCAGUUGGUGAAAUCUCCGGGCUUAACUCGGAAAGGUCAACUGAUACUGUGCGACUAGAGUGCAGAAGGGGCAACUGGAAUUCUCGGUGGUAGCGGUGAAAUGCGUAGAUAAUCGAGAGGAACACCUGCGGCGAAGGCGGGUUGCUGGGCUGACACUGACGCUGAUGCGCGAAAGCCAGGGGAGGCGAAACGGG